rnacentral:lncRNA from 1 species
GAGAGGGAAGGUGUGAGUUUCUGUGACAGAGAGACUCAGGGGAGAUGAGGAAGGAACCAGGGUAAUGCAAAAUAUCCCUCUCUCCUCAUAUAAAAAGAGAUGCUAUUUGUAGCUUUUAUGGGUUGAGAGAGAGCUGUGUUUAUGUAGUGAGGGACUGAGUAUAAGAUGGGGUAAACAUGGUCUGAGACAAAGGCACCACAGAGAUGUGAAUUUCCCUGUGUCCUUCUCUUCUUGUCUCUUUCUCACCAGAGAGCCAAUAGGAUACUCUAUGAGAUGAACUGAAAGCAUGGGAAGAGUGUAUUUAAGGUCAGACAGAUGAGGGUUCUAAUCCCAAUACCUGACCAGGUGACUUUAGGCAAAUCACCCAUAUACUCUCAUGACUGG